rnacentral:rRNA from 1 species
CCUACGGGAGGCAGCAGUGGGGAAUAUUGGGCAAUGGGCGCAAGCCUGACCCAGCAACGCCGCGUGAAGGAAGAAGGCCCUCGGGUUGUAAAAUUGUUUUAUUAGGGACGAAACAAAUGACGGUACCGAAUGAAUAAGCCACGGCUAACUACGUGCCAGCAGCCGCGGCAAUACGGAGGUGGCAAGCGUUAGCCGGAUUCACUGGGUGUAAGGGGCGUGUAGGCGGGAGGGCAAGGUAGACGUGAAAUUACAGGGCUCAACCCUGGAACUGCGUUUGAAACUGUUCUUCUUGAGUGAUGGUGAGGCAGGCGGAAUUCCGUGUGUAGCGGUGAAAUGCGUAGAUAUACGAAGGAACACCAGUGGCGAAGGCGGCCUGCUGGACAUUAACUGACGCUGAGGCGCGAAAGCGUGGGGAGCAAACAGGAUUAGAUACCCGAGUAGUC